UUGCGUGAGCGAUGGAAGCGGCAUCCUUUUGCGGUCGCAGUUCCGACACUUCGGGACGGAGGCCGAAAAAGAUAGAGCGGACAGCGCGACGGCGG
rnacentral:sRNA from 1 species